AUUGAACGCUGGCGGCAGGCCUAACACAUGCAAGUCGAGCGAGCGGCGGACGGGUGAGUAAUGUCUGGGAAACUGCCUGAUGGAGGGGGAUAACUACUGGAAACGGUAGCUAAUACCGCAUACCAUCAGAUGUGCCCAGAUGGGAUUAGCUAGUAGGUGGGGUAACGGCUCACCUAGGCGACGAUCCCUAGCUGGUCUGAGAGGAUGACCAGCCAAGCUGGAACGGAGACACGGUCAAGACUCCUACGGGAGGCAGCAGUGGGGUAUAUUGCACAGUGGGCGAAAGCCUGAUGCAGCCAGGCCGUGGGCUGGAAGAAGGCCUUCGGGUUGUAAAGCACUGUCAGCGGGGAGGCGUUACCCGCAGACGAAGCACAUGCUAACUCCGAGCAAGCAGCCGCGGUAAUAC
rnacentral:rRNA from 1 species